rnacentral:misc_RNA from 1 species
AACGCACAUUGCGCCCGCUAGUAUUCUGGCGGGCAUGCCUGUCCGAGCGUCAUUUCAACCAUCAAGCCCUGCUUGUGUUGGGGUCCUGCGGCUGCCCGCAGGCCCUGAAAACCAGUGGCGGGCUCGCUAGUCACACCGAGCGCAGUAGCACAUCUCGCUCAGGGCGUGCGGCGGGUUCUUGCCGUUAAGCACCCCCCUUCCAAAGGUUGACCUCGGAUCAGGUAGGAAUACCCGCUGAACUUAA